UGGGGAAUAUUGCACAAUGGAGGGAACUCUGAUGCAGCGACGCCGCGUGAACGAAGAAGGCUUUCGAGUCGUAAAGUUCUUUUAUAUGGGAAGAUAAUGACGGUACCAUAAGAAAAAGCCCCGGCUAACUACGUGCCAGCAGCCGCGGUAAUACGUAGGGGGCUAGCGUUGUCCGGAAUCACUGGGCGUAAAGGGUUCGCAGGAGGAAAUGCAAGUCGAGUGUAAAAGGCAGUAGCUUAACUACUGUAAGCAUUUGAAACUGCAUAUGUUGAGAAGAGUAGAGGUAAGUGGAAUUUUUCGUGUAGCGGUGAAAUGCGUAGAUAUUAAAAAGAAUACCGGUGGCGAUGUCGACUUACAGGGCUCAUUCUGAGGUUGAGGAACGAAAGAGUGGGUAGCAAACAGG
rnacentral:rRNA from 1 species